UACGGAGGAUCCAAGCGUUAUCCGGAUUCAUUGGGUUUAAAGGGCGCGUAGGCGGAAUGAUAAGUCAGUGGUGAAAUCUCUCGGCUUAACCGAGAAACUGCCAUUGAUACUGUCAAUCUUGAGUACAUUUGAUGUGGGCGGAAUGUGUCAUGUAGCGGUGAAAUGCUUAGAUAUGACGCGGAACACCGAUUGCGAAGGCAGCUCACAGAACUGUAACUGACGCUGAGGCGCGAAAGCGUGGGUAUCAAACAGG
rnacentral:rRNA from 1 species